AACGAACGCUGGCGGCAGGCCUAACACAUGCAAGUCGAGCGAGGACUUCGGUUCUAGCGGCGGACGGGUAAGUAACACGUGGAUAACCUACCUAUAAGACUGGGAUAACUUCGGGAAACCGGAGCUAAUGCCGGAUAAUAUUUUGAACCGCAUGGUUCAAAAGUGAAAGACGGUCUUGCUGUCACUUAUAGAUGGAUCCGCGCUGCAUUAGCUAGUUGGUAAGGUAACGGCUUACCAAGGCAACGAUGCAUAGCCGACCUGAGAGGGUGAUCGGCCACACUGGAACUGAGACACGGUCCAGACUCCUACGGGAGGCAGCAGUAGGGAAUCUUCCGCAAUGGGCGAAAGCCUGACGGAGCAACGCCGCGUGAGUGAUGAAGGUCUUCGGAUCGUAAAACUCUGUUAUUAGGGAAGAACAUAUGUGUAAGUAACUGUGCACAUCUUGACGGUACCUAAUCAGAAAGCCACGGCUAACUACGUG
rnacentral:rRNA from 1 species